rnacentral:rRNA from 1 species
AUGGCCCGGCGCCGCUCCGGCGUCGCCGCCGCGGCCCUGCUGCUCCCCCUCCUCGUCCUCGCCCUCUCCGCUGGCUGCGGCGCGGCGCCGCAGGGCGCGGAGGUGACGGGGCUGCCGGGCUUCGACGGCGCGCUGCCGUCGAAGCACUACGCCGGGUACGUGACGGUGGACGAGCGGCACGGCCGGAACCUGUUCUACUACGCGGUGGAGUCGGAGCGCGACCCGUCCAAGGACCCCGUCGUGCUCUGGCUCAACGGCGGGCCCGGCUGCUCCAGCUUCGACGGCUUCGUCUACGAGCACGGGCCAUUCAACUUUGAAUCAGGCGGGUCAGUUAAAAGCCUACCAAAGCUUCAUCUCAACCCUUACAGCUGGUCCAAGGUCUCUACCAUGAUAUACCUGGACUCCCCUGCUGGUGUGGGGCUGUCAUACUCAAAGAAUGUUUCAGAUUAUGUAACGGGAGACCUCAAGACCGCGGCGGAUUCGCAUACUUUCCUUCUCAAGUGGUUCCAAUUGUAUCCUGAGUUCCUGAGCAACCCAUUCUACAUAGCUGGGGAGUCGUAUGCCGGGGUUUAUGUCCCUACUCUUUCGCAUGAAGUUGUCAAAGGAAUACAAGGAGGAGCUAAGCCAACUAUAAACUUCAAGGGCUACAUGGUGGGGAAUGGCGUCUGCGACACUGUUUUUGAUGGUAAUGCUCUUGUGCCAUUUGCACAUGGAAUGGGUCUAAUAUCAGAGGAAAUAUACCAGCAAGCUGCUACGAUGUGCCAUGGAAAUUACUGGAAUGCGAGCGAGGGUAAAUGUGAAAGCGCGUUAGGGAAAAUCGACUCGUUAAUCAGCGAACUGAACAUUUACGACAUUCUUGAGCCAUGCUACCACGGCAGAAGCAUCAAAGAAGCAAACCCGCAGAAUAGCAAAUUACCUAAAAGUUUCAAAGAUCUUGGUACAACUAACAAGCCCUUUCCUGUAAGAACAAGAAUGCUUGGGCGUGCUUGGCCUCUGAGAGCUCCUGUAAAAGCCGGGCGCGUUCCAUUAUGGCAGGAAGUUGCAAGUGGUGUUCCAUGCAUGAGCGACGAAGUGGCAACGGCAUGGCUGGACAACGAUGGCGUCAGAUCUGCAAUCCAUGCGCAAUCAGUAAGUUCAAUUGGGCCAUGGCUCUUAUGCACAGAUAAAAUUGAUUUCAACCAUGAUGCUGGCAGUAUGAUCAGUUAUCACAAGAACCUCACAAGCCAGGGCUAUCGUGCCAUCAUAUUCAGUGGUGACCAUGAUAUGUGUGUGCCGUACACCGGGAGUGAAGCAUGGACAAAAUCUAUGGGGUAUGGAGUUGUUGACUCAUGGCGACCAUGGUUCACAAACGAACAAGUUUCCGGGUACACCGAAGGCUAUGAACAUGGUCUCACUUUUGCUACUAUUAAGGGCGCUGGACACACCGUUCCUGAAUACAAACCACAGGAAGCAUUGGCUUUCUACAGCCGUUGGCUCAAUGGUUCAAAGUUGUGA